rnacentral:rRNA from 1 species
GACGAACGCUGGCGGCGUGCUUAACACAUGCAAGUCGAACGAUGAACCCGGAGCUUGCUCCGGUGGAUUAGUGGCGAACGGGUGAGUAACACGUGAGUAACCUGCCCUUGACUCUGGGAUAACUGCUAGAAAUGGUAGCUAAUACCGGAUACGACCCUCGGCGGCAUCGCCAGGGGGUGGAAAGAAUUUCGGUCAAGGAUGGACUCGCGGCCUAUCAGCUAGUUGGUGAGGUAACGGCUCACCAAGGCGACGACGGGUAGCCGGCCUGAGAGGGUGACCGGCCACACUGGGACUGAGACACGGCCCAGACUCCUACGGGAGGCAGCAGUGGGGAAUAUUGCACAAUGGGCGCAAGCCUGAUGCAGCAACGCCGCGUGAGGGAUGACGGCCUCGG